rnacentral:lncRNA from 1 species
AAAGCUAUCAAUACCAUGACUAAACCUCUUCUGUUGUAUUUGUCUAAUGCAUCUCUCCUCCAUGCCAUCUCCAGGUGUGUACAGUAGCUGCCCCUUGGUUCACUCAUCACUCUGGUCGUUUCAACACAGUAAAGCUUGACGUACAGUAUCACUUUUGCCUGGCUGUACAACAGGGUCUAAUGAAUUGGUUGGGAGUGGAAGGUCAUCAGAUCAAACUGCAGGUGGGUUUCCGAGAGCAAGAGCCCUGCACAAGCUCAUACCUGAAGUAAGCCCUGCAGCUGAGUUGCUAUGUUUUUAUUUUCUCUUUUCAUCAUGGAAUAACUUCUAUUGGUGCCUCUGCAGCUCACACUCUCGAAACCCUACACAAUUUCAGGAUUGCUUCGUUUCAAGAUGUUACUUCAUUCAACCUCUGACAAGGCUUUUUCUCAGGACCGCAGCAACUUCAGCAGCACAGGGAGAGAGAAGAGCGAAGGCAGAGAGGCAGAGUCAAUGCAAACAGAGAACCCAGCCCAGCAUCUCUGAAUGUCGAAAAUUUGACAACAAUCCAGAUGUGAAUGCGUGCGGUUUCCAGAAGAAGAAAAAAACAGAAUGGCGAGCCAACCUAAGAAAAACAAUUUAAGAGUGGAGAGGGACUGCUUCUCCAGUUCUGCCCACCUCGCUUUGUUGUUCAAGACACUGAUAAAAAGCUGUAUGAGUG